UCGCGGCGGCGUGCGCAGAAGGGUCUGGGCUCGAGCCUGCCUGGAGCCGCCGCCGGUGCAGAUCUUGGUGGUAGUAGCAAAUACUCCAGCGAGGCCCUGGAGGACUGAUGUGGAGAAGGGUUUCGUGUGAACAGCCGUUGCACACGAGUCAGUCGAUCCUAAGCCCUAGGAGAAAUCCGACGCCUACGGCGACGGGAAAAAUUUUUGAAAUCUACCCGUUGAUCGGGCGAAAGGGAAUCCGGUUCCUAUUCCGGAACCCGGCAGCGGAACCGCUGUUUGUCGGGCCCUCACAAGGGGUUCGUCAGGGUAACCUAAAAGGGCCCGGAGACGCCGUCGGGAGCCCCGGAAAGAGUUUUCUUUUCUGCAUGAGCGUUCGAGUUCCCUGGAAUCCUCUCGCAGGGAGAUAGGGUUUGGAACGCGAAGAGCACCGCAGUUGCGGCGGUGCCCGGGAAUUCCCGACGGACCUUGAAAAUCCGGGAGAGGGCCACGUGGAGGUGUCGCGCCGGCUCGUACCCAUAUCCGCAGCAGGUCUCCAAGGUGAAGAGCCUCUAGUCGAUAGAAUAAUGUAGGUAAGGGAAGUCGGCAAAUCGGAUCCGUAACUUCGGG
rnacentral:rRNA from 2 species